CUUCCGCAUCAGGUUUCUUUUCCU
rnacentral:siRNA from 1 species